CGCGUAGGCGGUUUGGUCAGUUAGGCGUGAAAUUCCUGGGCUUAACCUGGGGACUGCGCUUAAUACGGCCGAGCUUGAGUUCGGAAGAGGGUAGUGGAAUUCCCAGUGUAGAGGUGAAAUUCGUAGAUAUUGGGAAGAACACCGGUGGCGAAGGCGGCUACCUGGUCCGAUACUGACGCUGAGGCGCGAAAGCGUGGGGAGCAAACAGGAUUAGAUACCCUGGUAGUCCACGCUGUAAACGAUGUGUGCUGGAUGUUGGGCGACCUAGUCGCUCAGUGUCGUAGCUAACGCGAUAAGCACACCGCCUGGGGAGUACGGCCGCAAGGUUGAA
rnacentral:rRNA from 1 species